AUUAAACCAAUUUUGACAUGUUUGACAAAUAUAAAAGUAUUGCAUCUGUUUUUUAAGAAAAUAAUUAUGCUGAUAUUAAUGUCAUGAAUUUGAUAUAACUCAACUUGUAUAUCUUAUGCUUUUAGCUUAACAAAGUAUUGUUUACAAUAUUGUGAAUAUGUAAAUAAUAAAAUAUCUGGAGGCAUCAAGAAUACAUUUGACAUUUGACUCAGAGAAAAAAAUACAAAAGAAUAUGACAUAUAUUAAACCAAUUUUGACAUAUUUGAUAAACAUAAAACUUAACAAAGUAUUGUUUACAAUAUCGUGAAUAUGUAAAUAAUUAAAUAUCCGAAGACAUCAAGAAUACAUUUGAUAUUUGACUCAGAGAAAAAAAUACAAAAGAAUAUGACAUAUAUUAAACCAAUUUUGACAUAUUUGAUAAACAUAAAACUUAACAAAGUAUUGUUUACAAUAUCGUGAAUAUGUAAAUAAUUAAAUAUCCGAAGACAUCAAGAAUACAUUUGAUAUUUGACUCAGAGAAAAAAAUACAAAAGAAUAUGACAUAUAUUAAACCAAUUUUGACAUAUUUGAUAAACAUAAAACUUAACAAAGUAUUGUUUACAAUAUCGUGAAUAUGUAAAUAAUUAAAUAUCCGAAGACAUCAAGAAUACAUUUGAUAUUUGACUCAGAGAAAAAAAUACAAAAGAAUAUGACAUAUAUUAAACCAAUUUUGACAUAUUUGAUAAACAUAAAACUUAACAAAGUAUUGUUUACAAUAUCGUGAAUAUGUAAAUAAUUAAAUAUCCGAAGACAUCAAGAAUACAUUUGAUAUUUGACUCAGAGAAAAAAAUACAAAAGAAUAUGACAUAUAUUAAACCAAUUUUGACAUAUUUGAUAAACAUAAAACUUAACAAAGUAUUGUUUACAAUAUCGUGAAUAUGUAAAUAAUUAAAUAUCCGAAGACAUCAAGAAUACAUUUGAUAUUUGACUCAGAGAAAAAAAUACAAAAGAAUAUGACAUAUAUUAAACCAAUUUUGACAUAUUUGAUAAACAUAAAACUUAACAAAGUAUUGUUUACAAUAUCGUGAAUAUGUAAAUAAUUAAAUAUCCGAAGACAUCAAGAAUACAUUUGAUAUUUGACUCAGAGAAAAAAAUACAAAAGAAUAUGACAUAUAUUAAACCAAUUUUGACAUAUUUGAUAAACAUAAAACUUAACAAAGUAUUGUUUACAAUAUCGUGAAUAUGUAAAUAAUUAAAUAUCCGAAGACAUCAAGAAUACAUUUGAUAUUUGACUCAGAGAAAAAAAUACAAAAGAAUAUGACAUAUAUUAAACCAAUUUUGACAUAUUUGAUAAACAUAAAACUUAACAAAGUAUUGUUUACAAUAUCGUGAAUAUGUAAAUAAUUAAAUAUCCGAAGACAUCAAGAAUACAUUUGAUAUUUGACUCAGAGAAAAAAAUACAAAAGAAUAUGACAUAUAUUAAACCAAUUUUGACAUAUUUGAUAAACAUAAAACUUAACAAAGUAUUGUUUACAAUAUCGUGAAUAUGUAAAUAAUUAAAUAUCCGAAGACAUCAAGAAUACAUUUGAUAUUUGACUCAGAGAAAAAAAUACAAAAGAAUAUGACAUAUAUUAAACCAAUUUUGACAUAUUUGAUAAACAUAAAACUUAACAAAGUAUUGUUUACAAUAUCGUGAAUAUGUAAAUAAUUAAAUAUCCGAAGACAUCAAGAAUACAUUUGAUAUUUGACUCAGAGAAAAAAAUACAAAAGAAUAUGACAUAUAUUAAACCAAUUUUGACAUAUUUGAUAAACAUAAAACUUAACAAAGUAUUGUUUACAAUAUCGUGAAUAUGUAAAUAAUUAAAUAUCCGAAGACAUCAAGAAUACAUUUGAUAUUUGACUCAGAGAAAAAAAUACAAAAGAAUAUGACAUAUAUUAAACCAAUUUUGACAUAUUUGAUAAACAUAAAACUUAACAAAGUAUUGUUUACAAUAUCGUGAAUAUGUAAAUAAUUAAAUAUCCGAAGACAUCAAGAAUACAUUUGAUAUUUGACUCAGAGAAAAAAAUACAAAAGAAUAUGACAUAUAUUAAACCAAUUUUGACAUAUUUGAUAAACAUAAAACUUAACAAAGUAUUGUUUACAAUAUCGUGAAUAUGUAAAUAAUUAAAUAUCCGAAGACAUCAAGAAUACAUUUGAUAUUUGACUCAGAGAAAAAAAUACAAAAGAAUAUGACAUAUAUUAAACCAAUUUUGACAUAUUUGAUAAACAUAAAACUUAACAAAGUAUUGUUUACAAUAUCGUGAAUAUGUAAAUAAUUAAAUAUCCGAAGACAUCAAGAAUACAUUUGAUAUUUGACUCAGAGAAAAAAAUACAAAAGAAUAUGACAUAUAUUAAACCAAUUUUGACAUAUUUGAUAAACAUAAAACUUAACAAAGUAUUGUUUACAAUAUCGUGAAUAUGUAAAUAAUUAAAUAUCCGAAGACAUCAAGAAUACAUUUGAUAUUUGACUCAGAGAAAAAAAUACAAAAGAAUAUGACAUAUAUUAAACCAAUUUUGACAUAUUUGAUAAACAUAAAACUUAACAAAGUAUUGUUUACAAUAUCGUGAAUAUGUAAAUAAUUAAAUAUCCGAAGACAUCAAGAAUACAUUUGAUAUUUGACUCAGAGAAAAAAAUACAAAAGAAUAUGACAUAUAUUAAACCAAUUUUGACAUAUUUGAUAAACAUAAAACUUAACAAAGUAUUGUUUACAAUAUCGUGAAUAUGUAAAUAAUUAAAUAUCCGAAGACAUCAAGAAUACAUUUGAUAUUUGACUCAGAGAAAAAAAUACAAAAGAAUAUGACAUAUAUUAAACCAAUUUUGACAUAUUUGAUAAACAUAAAACUUAACAAAGUAUUGUUUACAAUAUCGUGAAUAUGUAAAUAAUUAAAUAUCCGAAGACAUCAAGAAUACAUUUGAUAUUUGACUCAGAGAAAAAAAUACAAAAGAAUAUGACAUAUAUUAAACCAAUUUUGACAUAUUUGAUAAACAUAAAACUUAACAAAGUAUUGUUUACAAUAUCGUGAAUAUGUAAAUAAUUAAAUAUCCGAAGACAUCAAGAAUACAUUUGAUAUUUGACUCAGAGAAAAAAAUACAAAAGAAUAUGACAUAUAUUAAACCAAUUUUGACAUAUUUGAUAAACAUAAAACUUAACAAAGUAUUGUUUACAAUAUCGUGAAUAUGUAAAUAAUUAAAUAUCCGAAGACAUCAAGAAUACAUUUGAUAUUUGACUCAGAGAAAAAAAUACAAAAGAAUAUGACAUAUAUUAAACCAAUUUUGACAUAUUUGAUAAACAUAAAACUUAACAAAGUAUUGUUUACAAUAUCGUGAAUAUGUAAAUAAUUAAAUAUCCGAAGACAUCAAGAAUACAUUUGAUAUUUGACUCAGAGAAAAAAAUACAAAAGAAUAUGACAUAUAUUAAACCAAUUUUGACAUAUUUGAUAAACAUAAAACUUAACAAAGUAUUGUUUACAAUAUCGUGAAUAUGUAAAUAAUUAAAUAUCCGAAGACAUCAAGAAUACAUUUGAUAUUUGACUCAGAGAAAAAAAUACAAAAGAAUAUGACAUAUAUUAAACCAAUUUUGACAUAUUUGAUAAACAUAAAACUUAACAAAGUAUUGUUUACAAUAUCGUGAAUAUGUAAAUAAUUAAAUAUCCGAAGACAUCAAGAAUACAUUUGAUAUUUGACUCAGAGAAAAAAAUACAAAAGAAUAUGACAUAUAUUAAACCAAUUUUGACAUAUUUGAUAAACAUAAAACUUAACAAAGUAUUGUUUACAAUAUCGUGAAUAUGUAAAUAAUUAAAUAUCCGAAGACAUCAAGAAUACAUUUGAUAUUUGACUCAGAGAAAAAAAUACAAAAGAAUAUGACAUAUAUUAAACCAAUUUUGACAUAUUUGAUAAACAUAAAACUUAACAAAGUAUUGUUUACAAUAUCGUGAAUAUGUAAAUAAUUAAAUAUCCGAAGACAUCAAGAAUACAUUUGAUAUUUGACUCAGAGAAAAAAAUACAAAAGAAUAUGACAUAUAUUAAACCAAUUUUGACAUAUUUGAUAAACAUAAAACUUAACAAAGUAUUGUUUACAAUAUCGUGAAUAUGUAAAUAAUUAAAUAUCCGAAGACAUCAAGAAUACAUUUGAUAUUUGACUCAGAGAAAAAAAUACAAAAGAAUAUGACAUAUAUUAAACCAAUUUUGACAUAUUUGAUAAACAUAAAACUUAACAAAGUAUUGUUUACAAUAUCGUGAAUAUGUAAAUAAUUAAAUAUCCGAAGACAUCAAGAAUACAUUUGAUAUUUGACUCAGAGAAAAAAAUACAAAAGAAUAUGACAUAUAUUAAACCAAUUUUGACAUAUUUGAUAAACAUAAAACUUAACAAAGUAUUGUUUACAAUAUCGUGAAUAUGUAAAUAAUUAAAUAUCCGAAGACAUCAAGAAUACAUUUGAUAUUUGACUCAGAGAAAAAAAUACAAAAGAAUAUGACAUAUAUUAAACCAAUUUUGACAUAUUUGAUAAACAUAAAACUUAACAAAGUAUUGUUUACAAUAUCGUGAAUAUGUAAAUAAUUAAAUAUCCGAAGACAUCAAGAAUACAUUUGAUAUUUGACUCAGAGAAAAAAAUACAAAAGAAUAUGACAUAUAUUAAACCAAUUUUGACAUAUUUGAUAAACAUAAAACUUAACAAAGUAUUGUUUACAAUAUCGUGAAUAUGUAAAUAAUUAAAUAUCCGAAGACAUCAAGAAUACAUUUGAUAUUUGACUCAGAGAAAAAAAUACAAAAGAAUAUGACAUAUAUUAAACCAAUUUUGACAUAUUUGAUAAACAUAAAACUUAACAAAGUAUUGUUUACAAUAUCGUGAAUAUGUAAAUAAUUAAAUAUCCGAAGACAUCAAGAAUACAUUUGAUAUUUGACUCAGAGAAAAAAAUACAAAAGAAUAUGACAUAUAUUAAACCAAUUUUGACAUAUUUGAUAAACAUAAAAGUAUUGCAUCUGUUUUUUAAGAAAAUAAUUAUGCUGAUUGUUAAUGUGAUGAAUUUGAUAUAACUCAACUUGUAUAUCUUAUGCUUUUAGCUUAACAAAGUAUUGUUUACAAUAUCGUGAAUAUGUAAAUAAUUAAAUAUCCGAAGACAUCAAGAAUACAUUUGAUAUUUGACUCAGAGAAAAAAAUACAAAAGAAUAUGACAUAUAUUAAACCAAUUUUGACAUAUUUGACAAACAUAAAACUUAACAAAGUAUUGUUUACAAUAUUGUGAAUAUGUAAAUAAUAAAAUAUCUGGAGGCAUCAAGAAUACAUUUGACAUUUGACUCGGAGAAAAAAAUACAAAAGAAUAUGACAUAUAUUAAACCAAUUUUGACAUAUUUGACAAACAUAAAAGUAUCGCAUCUGUUUUUUAAGAAAAUAAUUAUGCUGAUAUUAAUGUCAUGAAUUUGAUAUAAUUCAACUUGUAUAUCUUAUGCUUUUAGCUUAACAAAGUAUUGUUUACAAUAUUGUGAAUAUGUAAAUAAUAAAAUAUCCGGAGGCAUCAAGAAUACAUUUGACAUUUGACUCAGAGAAAAAAAUACAAAAGAAUAUGACAAAAUGAAUAGAAAA